rnacentral:rRNA from 1 species
GUGGCUUCCGGAGUUAACGCGUUAAGUCGCCGCCUGGGGAGUAACGCCCGCAAGGUUAAAACUCAAGUGAAUUUGACGGGGGCCCGCACAAGCGGUGGAGCAUGUGGUUUAAUUCGAUGCAACGCGAAGAACCUUACCUGGUCUUGACAUCCACGGAGGUUUUCUAGAGAUGAGAAUGUGCCUUCGGGAACCGUUGAGACAGGUGCUGCAUGGCUGUCGUCAGCUCGUGUUGUGAAAUGUUGGGUUAAGUCCCGCAACGAGCGCAACCCUUAUCCAUUUGUUGCCAGCGUUCCUGCCCGGGAACUCAAAGGAGACUGCCAGUGGAUAAACUGGAGGAAGGUGGGGAUGACGUCAAGUCAUCAUCGCCCUUACGACCAGGGCUACACACGUGCUACAAUGGCGCAUACAAAGAGAAGCGACCUCGCGAGAGCAAGCGGACCUCAUAAAGUGCGUCGUAGUCCGGAUUGGAGUCUGCAACUCGACUCCAUGAAGUCGGAAUCGCUAGUAAUCGUGGGAUCAGAAUGCCACGGUGAAUACGUGCCCGGGCCUUGUACACACGCGCGUGACAACAUGGAGUGG